rnacentral:rRNA from 3 species
CCUGGCGGCCGUAGCGCGGUGGUCCCACCUGACCCCAUGCCGAACUCAGAAGUGAAACGCCGUAGCGCCGAUGGUAGUGUGGGGUCUCCCCAUGCG